AAUGAAAUGCCUGAUAAAAGGAUUAUUUUGAUAGAAUAAAUCAUGUACCGUGUACUUUCAUUA
rnacentral:tRNA from 1 species